UCCCGACCCACAGAAACUACCCACAGGGACUGUGUCUGGCUUUGCUCACCGUGGAGGCAUCCCCCACACCCCGGCCCGUGCCUGGCCCAGAGGAGAUGCUCGCCCUCAUAAUGGUCUGGACUGUGAUGCAGAG